rnacentral:rRNA from 1 species
GACGAACGCUGGCGGCGUGCUUAACACAUGCAAGUCGAACGGAAAGGCCCUGCUUUUGUGGGGUGCUCGAGUGGCGAACGGGUGAGUAACACGUGAGUAACCUGCCCUUGACUUUGGGAUAACUUCAGGAAACUGGGGCUAAUACCGGAUAGGAGCUCCUGCUGCAUGGUGGGGGUUGGAAAGUUUCGGCGGUUGGGGAUGGACUCGCGGCUUAUCAGCUUGUUGGUGGGGUAGUGGCUUACCAAGGCUUUGACGGGUAGCCGGCCUGAGAGGGUGACCGGCCACAUUGGGAUUGGGAUGCGGCCCGGGGGCCUACGGGGGGCAGCGGUGGGGAAUAUUGCAAAAUGGGCGGAGGCCGGAUGCAGCACCGCCGCGUGGGGAAGGACGGCCUUCGGGUGGUAAACGGCUUUCGCCUGUGACGAGGCGUGAGUGACGGAAAUGGGUAAAGAGGCACCGGCUAACUACGU